UUACAAGAAUAUUUAUAACAUGUUUUAAUGAUAAUUCAUAUAUAUUUGUUAGUCACAGUAGAACCAGUAAAAUUUAAUUUACAUUUGUAAAAUCACAAGUAUUGUACAUGAUAAAAUCACAAGUAUUGUUAAGCAAGCAAAGAAAUUGGAAAUUAGGCGACAAUAUACAAUUCAUCAUAUAUAUUUUUCAGUUUUUAUUUAUGAAUUGCUCCAGGACAUAGAAUAUCCCAAUAACCAUUAUCAUGUGGCCAAAAAGUCAAGAAAAUGUCAUACAUUACAGAGCAGUUAUAUGAGAGACGAAUAAAACAAGGUAAUUUUUUUUAGUUUUUUGUUUUUUUUUACGUUUGUGUUCCUAGCGCGAUUGAGUUCCUUUAAGUAGCAAAAAUGUGUUGGGAUGAACUUGUUAGUUUUCAUUCUGCUGCAUAAGGUUAAUAAAAAGAAAAUAAAAGCUCAAUUUACAGGAAUAUUUAUAACUUGUUUUAAUGAUGAUUCAUAUAGAUUUUUAG